rnacentral:tRNA from 1 species
GGAGGGGUAGCGAAGUGGCUAAACGCAUCAGUCUGUAAAACUGCUCCUUAAUAGGUACGAUGGUUCGAAUCCAUCCCCCUUCACCA